GAUGAACGCUGGCGGCGUGCUUAACACAUGCAAGUCGAACGGGAAAUAUUUCAUUGAGACUUCGGUGGAUUUGAUCUAUUUCUAGUGGCGGACGGGUGAGUAACGCGUGGGUAACCUGCCUUAUACAGGGGGAUAACAGUCAGAAAUGGCUGCUAAUACCGCAUAAGCGCACAGGGCUGCAUGGCUCAGUGUGAAAAACUCCGGUGGUAUAAGAUGGACCCGCGUUGGAUUAGCUGGUUGGUGGGGUAACGGCCCACCAAGGCGACGAUCCAUAGCCGGCCUGAGAGGGUGAACGGCCACAUUGGGACUGAGACACGGCCCAGACUCCUACGGGAGGCAGCAGUGGGGAAUAUUGCACAAUGGGGGAAACCCUGAUGCAGCGACGCCGCGUGAAGGAAGAAGUAUCUCGGUAUGUAAACUUCUAUCAGCAGGGAAGAUAGUGACGGUAC
rnacentral:rRNA from 1 species